rnacentral:miRNA from 1 species
CUACCAUGCUCCCUUGUGGUUCCCAUAAUUCCCAGCAUCUACACAUCAUACAGUAAUCCUUACUCUAUGAUGUGUAGAUGCUGGGAAUUAUGGGAACCGCGAGGGAGCACGGUAGUUA